rnacentral:rRNA from 1 species
UACGGAGGGGGGCUAGCGUUGUUCGGAAUUACUGGGCGUAAAGCGCACGUAGGCGGCUUUGCAAGUCAGAGGUGAAAGCCCCGGGGCUCAACCCCCGGAAUUGCCUUUGAGACUGCAUCGCUAGAAUUGUGGAGAGGUAAGUGGAAUUCCGAGUGUAGAGGUGAAAUUCGUAGAUAUUCGGAAGAACACCAGUGGCGAAGGCGACUUACUGGACACAUAUUGACGCUGAGGUGCGAAAGCGUGGGGAGCAAACAGG